rnacentral:tRNA from 1 species
GUGUACUUUGCUUAAUGGUCAGAGCAUUACUCAUGAAUGAUGAGGUUGUGGGUUCAAGUCCCACAGUACACA